rnacentral:lncRNA from 1 species
UUUUUCCAGAAGCCCCUCUCCUGAACCCCCGCCCAGCACGGGCUCUCCUGUUCUGCUGACCGGAAGCCCAGGGGCUCCACAAAGAGCCUGCUCACCUGCACCCUGCCGGAUGCCACUUCCUGU